AAUGAAAUCUGCUGUAUGACGAUAUUUACUACCAACAGGGUAAAUAACCCAUGACUUAAGUUUUUAUAAGCUGCCAACCCCAAAAACUGAGCUUUUGAUCAAUACAAAAAUG